rnacentral:rRNA from 1 species
UACGAAGGGGGCUAGCGUUGCUCGGAAUCACUGGGCGUAAAGGGUGCGUAGGCGGGUCUUUUAAGUCAGGGGUGAAAUCCUGGAGCUCAACUCCAGAACUGCCUUUGAUACUGAAGAUCUUGAGUUCGGGAGAGGUGAGUGGAACUGCGAGUGUAGAGGUGAAAAUUCGUAGAUAUUCGCAAGAACACCAGUGGCGAAGGCGGCUCACUGGCCCGAUACUGACGCUGAGGCACGAAAGCGUGGGGAG